UGAGCAGACAUAUUUCUAAAUUGGUCACUCUAAGGAUGGUUGUGAAUUAGUUUUAUUCCAAAUGGGAAAGCAGUGAUUUUUCUACAUAAAAUAUUUAACGGACAACAACUCUCUGUGUUGUUAUUCAUAUCACAAGGUUCAAGAACGAUAUCCUAAUCUUUAACGAACUACAUACACACCAUUACUAUUUUGUAAUAUUAUUUCAAAAUAUAAAAUUAUUUGUAAAUUUUUAGAUACAAAUUUUACUUCAAAUAAAUUGUACGUUGUUUUGUUUUUCAUGCUUCAAUUUUUUUAUAAUUCGGAUUUUUUUUCACACUCUUUGCCAUGAGCAAACUACACAUAGGUUAUUCACAGGGAUAUCAGUUCUUUUUUUUCUAUUUUGCAGAAGUAUUUAACGCUCAGGCACAUAUACCAGGAAAGUUAUCUCUCCAGUUUGAUGUUGAACUAAAAAACAAAUUCCAAAUAAAAAAGUUAGAGGAUAGCUUACUUCUGCUUGACUGUGCAACUGUCAAUAACAAGUUUAUUUUCACCGACAAUUGUGACAAAAGAUUAGUUGUACACAAUAGCGACGGAACUUACUACCGAGAUAUCAAACUGUCAGAUAAACCCUUGUGCAUAUCAGCAAUAAAUGACAGUUAUGUAGUUCUCACAUUCAAAACACCGUACAUGCAGAUUAUAAAUAUAAACACAGGACAAGUACAGAAUGUUAUUAAAACAAACGGUCAAAAGUGCCUUUGGUAUCCUAUCGAAAUGAACUAUUGUAUGCGAAUAUCGACAAGAAAAAGAUUGAUGUAUUGAAUCUGAAAGGGGAAAUAAUAAAUUCAUUUAAUUCUCCAUCAUCUGUAUGGUACAUUGCAACUGCUAAAAGUAGAUUGGUCAUGAUUGAUCCCACACAAGAUGCGUUGUACUGCUGCGACCUGCAAGGAUCAGUCCUAUGGAAGUUUACUGAUCAGAAGAUAAAGCGUCCAUACAACGUUACAACAGAUGGGAAUGGAAAUACAUAUGUAGUUUGCACCUUAUCUCACAAUGUUGUAGUGGUUUCAUCUGAUGAUGUAUUCCAGAUAUGUUCCACUGCAUAAACAACUCAGUAUUGAUAUACACGGUAUGGGUACCUCUGAAGGCGUCUUUAAUGUAACUCGUUUUGCUGACCAACUGACAUGAACCUAACACCUCCUGUUAGUAAUAUUUUGAUGAAAAUUAUAGCGUUCCUACUUCGUUUCCAACAAAUAACAGUAAUGUUCCAUUUGAAAUUUUUUUUUUUUUUUUGGAUUGUAUAUAGUCAAUGCACAUUUUAACAUGGAUUUUUUUUAAAUAUCAACCAUGCCAGAUAAAGGGUGUGGCACGCAUAGUUUCAGAAAAGCUUUAAACUUUGUCAGUUAUCACACUUUUAUGAAUAAAUGAAAAAAUAAUAUU